ACCGGCAGUGCAGGAUUCUAGCGGAUCCACCACUUUGGAAAAACAUCAUCAUAUCACACCCUAAAGCUGGAAAGUUCAAGACAAAAGGCUUCCCUCUUUUUGAAGCUUUGGGAGAAUUGCAUGAUGGCCAAACUGCAGAAGGGACAUAUAACUUCACCUCUAUCGAGUCAUCACAUUGCUCAACCCAAUCAGAUCUCGAGAAUCUUGGAG